GCCAGUAUGGCUGAGCGGUCUAAGGUGCUAAAUUAAGGCUUCAUUCCCUUUUGUGGUGUGGGUUCAAAUCCCACCACUACCA
rnacentral:tRNA from 1 species